rnacentral:piRNA from 1 species
AAAAGUCUAGGUGAGGACC